rnacentral:rRNA from 1 species
UACGGGGGGGGCAAGCGUUGUUCGGAAUUACUGGGCGUAAAGGGCUCGUAGGUGGCCAACUAAGUCAGACGUGAAAUCCCUCGGCUUAACCGGGGGAACUGCGUCUGAUACUGGAUGGCUUGAGUUCGGGAGAGGGAUGCGGAAUUCCAGGUGUAGCGGUGAAAUGCGUAGAUAUCUGGAGGAACACCGGUGGCGAAGGCGGCAUCCUGGACCGACACUGACACUGAGGAGCGAAAGCCAGGGGAGCAAACGGGG